rnacentral:rRNA from 1 species
CUGGCUCAGGAUGAACGCUGGCGGCGUGCCUAAUACAUGCAAGUCGAACGAGGUAUUAUACCGAGUGGCGAACGGGUGAGUAACACGUAGGUAACCUGCCUUACAGUUUGGGAUACCCUGGCGAAAGCUAGGCUAAUACCGAAUAAUUGGAUUGGAGGCAUCUCCGAUCUCUAAAAGGGGCCCUUAAAGCCUCGCUGAAUGAUGGACCUGCGGCGCAUUAGCUAGUUGGUGAGAUAAUAGCCCACCAAGGCGAGGAUGCGUAGCCGACCUGAGAGGGUGAACGGCCACACUGGAACUGAGACACGGUCCAGACUCCUACGGGAGGCAGCAGUGAGGAAUAUUGGUCAAUGGACGGAAGUCUGAACCAGCCAAGUAGCGUGCAAGGAUGACGGCCCUAUGGGUUGUAAACUGCUUUUGUCAGGGAAUAAAGUGAGGCACGUGUGCCUUUUUGUAUGUACCUGAAGAAUAAGGACCGGCUAAUUCCGUGCCAGCAGCGGC